rnacentral:rRNA from 1 species
CCUACGGGAGGCUGCAGUGAGGAAUAUUGGUCAAUGGGCGGAAGCCUGAACCAGCCAAGUAGCGUGCGGGAUGAAGGCCCUACGGGUCGUAAACCGCUUUUGCACGGUGAUAACACCCUCCACUUGUGGAGGUCUGCAGGUACCGUGCGAAUAAGGGCCGGCUAAUUCCGUGCCAGCAGCCGCGGUAAUACGGAAGGCCCGAGCGUUAUCCGGAUUCAUUGGGCUUAAAGGUAGCGUAGGCGGGCGUUCAAGUCAGCUGUAAAAUCGCGGGGCUCAACCGCGCCCCGCAGUUGAAACUGGGCGCCUUGAGUUCACAACAGGCAGGCGGAAUUCGUGGUGUAGCGGUGAAAUGCAUAGAUAUCACGAGGAACCCCGAUGGCGAAGGCAGCCUGCCGGGGUGCGACUGACGCUGAGGCUCGAAGGUGCGGGUAGCAAACAGGAUUAGAUACCCCGGUAGUC